rnacentral:rRNA from 1 species
AACUUUCAACAACGGAUCUCUUGGUUCUGGCAUCGAUGAAGAGACGCAGCGAAAUGCGAUAAGUAAUGCGAAUUGCAGAAUUCCAGGAGUCAUCGAAUCUUUGAACGCACAUUGCGCCCUUUGGCAUUCCGAAGGGCAUGCCUGUUCGAGCGUCAUUAU